rnacentral:tRNA from 1 species
GGUGGCUAAGUGGUAGAGCACUUGCCUUGCAUGCAUGAGGCCCUGGGUUCGAUUCCCCAGCACCA